AAGAGUUACAGCUCUUUUAGAAUUUGUCUAGUAAAUCUUCCGGUCUGCAUUAGAAGCUCCCU
ensembl:snRNA U7 U7 small nuclear RNA